GGGGAUGUAGGUUAGCAUGGAAUACUGCCAGUCUCGGGCGCUGGAGGGCAUGGGUUCAAGUCCCAUCAUCCCCA
rnacentral:tRNA from 1 species